ensembl:snRNA U6 U6 spliceosomal RNA
GUGCUUGCUUUGGCAGCAUGUAUACUAAAAUUGGAAUGACACAGAGAAGAUCAUCAUGGUCCCUGUGCAAGGAUACACACAAAUUCAUGAAGUGUUCUCUAUUUUU